UACAGAGGUCCCGAGCGUUGUUCGGAUUCACUGGGCGUAAAGGGUGCGUAGGUGGCUUGGUAAGUUUGAUGUGAAAGCUCAGGGCUCAACCCUGAAAUGGCAUUGAAUACUACUGAGCUGGGGUUUGGAGGGGGGACUGGAAUUCUCGGUGUAGCAGUGAAAUGCGUAGAUAUCGAGAGGAACACCAGUGGCGAAGGCGAGUCCCUGGACAACACCUGACACUGAGGCACGAAAGCUAGGGGAGCAAACAGG
rnacentral:rRNA from 1 species